rnacentral:rRNA from 1 species
AACGUACGCUGGCGGCAUGCCUAACACAUGCAAGUCGAACGAGACCUUCGGGUCUAGUGGCGCACGGGUGCGUAACGCGUGGGAACCUGCCUUUAGGUUCGGAAUAACUCAGAGAAAUUUGAGCUAAUACCGGAUGAUGUCUUCGGACCAAAGAUUUAUCGCCUUUAGAUGGGCCCGCGUUGGAUUAGCUAGUUGGUGGGGUAAAGGCCUACCAAGGCGACGAUCCAUAGCUGGUCUGAGAGGAUGAUCAGCCACACUGGGACUGAGACACGGCCCAGACUCCUACGGGAGGCAGCAGUGGGGAAUAUUGGACAAUGGGCGAAAGCCUGAUCCAGCAAUGCCGCGUGAGUGAUGAAGGCCUUAGGGUUGUAAAGCUCUUUUACCCGAGAUGAUAAUGACAGUAUCGGGAGAAUAAGCUCCGGCUAACUCCGUG